rnacentral:lncRNA from 1 species
AAAGAGAAGAAGACUAUUCUAGGGUUUCGCCGUCGCGGUCUUCAUCGGUUAUUCAUGUAUAAUUUUCUUAACUCUUUUGUUAUGUCAAUUAUUAUUNNNNNNNNNNNNNNNNNNNNNCAAUAGAUUAGGAAUUAUAGAUGAUUCUCUUUGAAACUAUCUGAGCCAUGUAACUACGUGUUCUAGUUUAUUCAAUGAAAACUUAUAAUUAUUCAGUUAAUCUCGUGUUUAUUGCUUUUCGCUAAUUGAUCACUUUCGAAUUGAUUUUAAGUUAUAAAUCACUAUUGACCCUAGGGUUUAUACUGGAACUAGAUUAAUUGUUUGUCAAUCGUAAUUGCUAUAGGAAUAUAGAAUUAAUUGGCAUGAUUGUUAAUAUAACGUUCGUUAAAGCUUUUGAUAAUAUUAGUUUCACCUAAGGAAUUAGGGUACUUUAUUUGAUAAAUGGGAUCGAUGAGCCAAGGAAUUGGACUUGAUCUAUUUUGUUAUAUUGUCGUAAUUAUAAGAAUUUCAUUGUUGAGGGCUAGAACCUAGAGUACCAGAUAGGGACAAAGAGAGGAUUCAAAAUAAUUCCUAAUCGUCUUUCUCUCAUN